ACAUGCAAGAAAAUCUGCAGAAAACAAAACUCAAAUUAUAUAAUUUCUCCUUCUGACGUAUAAGGUGACACUCUCAAAUAUCCUGCAAGGCGGUAAGAUAAUUUACAAUCCCAGACAGAUUGCUUCUGCAAUCUAAUCAAUCCCAUUGUCUCUCUCUAUCAUGUACUUAAAUCGUGGUCGCAGCCACAUUCGCAGGUCCCAGAAAUAGGCCUGUAACGGCCUAUUGUUAUGCAAAUGUUUUUGAAAAAUUACAAAAUUCAUGAAAUGAAUAAAUAUUUUAUUUAAAUAUAUAAUUAAAAGUAAGAUAGAUAACUAAAUAAUAAGUAAAUUAAAUAAAGACACUAAAUCCAUCACACUUAGAUGUCAUUAACAUUAAUCAAUUUAAAACUACACCUCUGUUUGGAUAAUUUAUGGAAGAGGAAGGAAAAUAACAUAAGGAUUUUUUUAAAAAAAUUUUCCAUUCUUUAUUUACGUCUUUUGUGUUUGAAUAAGUAGGGGGAAAAAAAAAGUGAAAGAAAAAUAAAUUUAUUUUUUUAUGUUCGGAAAGAGGAGUGAAAAGAAAAUAGUUGAAAUUACAAUUUUACCCCCACUUUAUUAAUUGUAUUUACUGUUUUACCUAAUAAGGACACAAAUAAAAAAUUAAAAUAAAUGGUAUAAUAUAAUUUCACACAUUUCAAUGCACAAUCCCCCACUUCUAUUAUUUUCUAUCCAAAUUGGAGAGAGAAUAAACAGGGUAAAACAACCCUAUCUUCCUUCUUCCCUCUAUUUUCCCUUACCUUCCCUUCCCAGACAAAAGGAAAGAGGAAAUUCUGCCUCAUUUUCCACAACUUAUUUUCCUUCCCUUACACUUUCCCAAUAUCCAAACAAGGGGUAAAAUAAAUAGGUAGAAAUCAUCAAAACUCAUUAUGUUACCUUUAAGUAAUGGUCAGUAACGGCGGUUACCUAAUGGUAACGACCAAUAUAGAUGUUACCAGCCUGAAAUUUAAAUGCCCCUUAGUUAUAAAGUGCCUCUAUCCUAAUAAAAAAACUAUUUAAUACAAACAACUGCUAAAAAUAAUAAAGCAAAAUAAAUGGCAGUAGAUCAUCUAGGCACUUUAACAUGCUCUCACUCAAACCAGAAAUCCUGUCGUCACAAAAGAGUACAGUUGAAUCAAUUGACCGUCAGAAAGAAAAAUGUAAAAAGAGCAAAUAUCUUCAAUAAGAAACCCACACCAACAACAAACCUACCAAAUCAACACAAUCAUGAAACAAUUAUAAGAACUUAACUUCAAUAAACAAUUUUAAUGUGGCAAAAUACACGAAAAGUAAUGAAAUCAAUCUAACAAAAAGUUGGAAGACAGAAAUAAAACAAUACCUUAUGGAAAACUUCAGAUACAGGACCAUCAUUCUCUGAUGCCAACAGCUCCUGUUUCACCUUUUCUAUUCCUUUGAUUAUAGCUUGCAUUUCUUCUGCUAAAGACUUCAAUUGUAUCUUUGAUGCAGCUUCAAGGCUAACAAGGUCCAGGUGAAAAUCAAGAAGUGCUGGUGACUUGGCUGCAAGUACCUUGCAAAGGUAAUGCAUAAGUGUCAUCUUGCUGUUAGAGGCACGUGUGUCAGUAAGUUUUAAAAGACUGUCCAACUUGAAACCAAUUGCUGAACCCCUUGCAGUUCCUUGGUUCAAUGUAUUCCCUAAAUAAAGAAUCUUCUUCAUAAUUUCCUUCAACUUGAGGGAAUUCCGAACCUAAUUAACAAAUAAUAAGGCACCUGGUUCAAAAGAAAAGCAACAAUCUGCAUAAGAAGGGCUCAUUGUCAUUUGUGGCAUACCUCGUCACAAGCAGAGUUUACUGUGUUUAAGCUCUUUUUAAAUUCUGUUAUCUGAGAGCUGAACUGAAUCUUGAAAGAAAAUACUCUCAUUUUUGACUCAACACGAGGCACUUUCAUCAGCUCCAGAAAAUACUGUUCACACUUUCCCAGGUUCUCCUUGUCACCAGUGUAGCCCUUGAGAAGUUCCAUCUCCUCCUUAGUAGGGCAGAAUUUGAUAAGAUUUUCCACUUGAUCAGCAUCUAAUAUUGAUUCAUCCAUUGCUAGAACUGCAGCCAUCAUGUCAGGCAGUGGCAUCUUAACUUUUGUGAGCAUAAUUUCAGUGUUGUUGGCCCUCCUCAGGUCAAUCAGGUGAACUUUGUCAGUUUUUGAUCCAACAGAUUUGCGUCUUCCUCCACCUUUGCCUCCUGAAUCAGCAGGUUUGGGGACUGUUGCCGAGAAAAGGCUCUCUAGCUCUGACACAUCAAAUUCUGGUGCAAUUUGGGGCUCCCCAUGUCUUUGCAACUCCUCCCACAAACUUCCUUGUAAUGCCCUUGUUACCUUGCUCCAGUGAAGAGGCUUUAAGGAUGAUCUUCUAGGUGCUGUUCCAGCUGAACACAUCCCUGAAGACCGUGAAACCCCACGCCCUCUUCCAGAAGCCAGGCCUCUUGUAUCAGCUACAGCUCCUUUGCCACCUAAUGGAGGAGGCGGAGGGGGUCCAAAACCUGGAGGUCCAGGUGGAGCAGGUGGGCCAGGAACACAGCCUCCAGGAGGAGGUGGGGGAGGUGGGCCUCUCCCUAUGGAAGGUGGAGGAGGAGCUCCAUGUCCAGGAGGAGGUGGCGGUGGUGGUGCUCCACGGCCUGGAGGUGGUGGGGUUCCAUGCCCUGGAGGUGGAGGUGGAGGUGGGGCUCUGCGCCCUGGAGGAGGUGGUGGAGGUGGGGCUCCACGAAAGGGAGGAGGUGGUGGAGGAGGAACACCACUUAUUGGAGGUGGUGGAGGAGCUCUACUUGAAGGAGGAGGAGGUGGUGGAGGUGGGGCCCUACGCCCUAGAGGAGGAGGUGGGGCUCCACAAAAGGGGGGAGGUGGUGGAGGAGGAAUGGCACUUAUUGGAAGAGAUGGAGGUGGUGGUAGAGCUCCCCUUGUAGGAGGAGGUGGAGGUGGUGGUGGUGGAGCUGGCGGCUCUGGUUCUGCUAAAGGGUUUGGUUCAGGCUUUGGUUCCGGAGGUGGCUCUGGCUUCGGCUCUGGUUCUGGUGGUGGGAAAGAAGGUGGUGGAGGUGGAGGUGGAGGAGGUGAAGUUGGCAAUGGUGGUGAUGAUGGUGGCACAUCCUGAGGCAGAGGAGGGGCAAAAGGCUGUGGAAAAUGCAGUUCUAAUUGAUUUUGCAAAUUACAUACAGAAUUGACUGCAGCAAUGCCAACUGCUGAACUUCCUUCAACUUCACAAGAGGGAGCCACAUCCUCCAUUUCAAGCUCACCGUCAACAUCUUCCAAGAUGUGUGUGUGCUUUUCUACUGCUGGUGUGGUCUCCCGUUCUUCAGGGGUUUCAGAAUUAUGUUCCGGAGUGACAGCCUCAAAACUCUCUCCAUCAGAAUCACUUCCUUCAUCUUCAUCCCUAAGCAUGCGAGGCAUACAAAAUCCCGGAAGCUGAAAACUCGAAUUGCUUCCAUAUUCGUCAACAAGCAUACCCUCCAUGUCUCUAACAGGAUCAUCUAAAGCCCUUUCCGUUCUUGCCGAUCGGCGAGAAUAAGCAACAGCAGAAGAUGAACCACCUAAUGAAUCAAGUUCCCGCAUAUGAUGGCGAAUAACAGAUUCCGGAAGGAUCCUUCUUUCCAGCCAAAGCCUCAAAACCCUCAAACACUGCCUCCGAUUUUCCUGUGCAAAACUUCCAGGAGGAGCAGCUGCUGCAAGCAAGCGUGUCAACACUGCUUGAAUAGCUGAAGGGUAUAUGCCACCAACAUCACCUUUCAAACCUCGAGAGCAUUGAGUGAUAGAAUCCACAAGGAAAAACAAAUCCACCCUUCUGUGUAAACUUGACUCACUUUCCAAGUUACGGACUAAAAUCUCCACCACCUUAGUAGAAAGGCCAAACUUUGCACAGUCAAUGGCUAUGCGAGUUGCUCGACCAAUGCUCUCCUUUGUCCUUGUUAAUGAUCCAAGCAUUCCUUCAAAGGAUGAUAGAGCAGCUUGUGCUUCUGCAUAAUUAUUCCAUUUGCCAAAAGAUUUUGGGUGUUGCAGCACCACCGCUGAUUCCUUUUUUUCUUCAUCAAUUGAUGUGCUCACAGUUUUAUGAUGUGAAUGAUUAGGACUGGAGCAUUGACUAUUUUGAAUAAAAUUAGCACUUUCCGAAGUAGAUACAUGGCAUAUUGAGGUUGUGGGUGGAGAUGUCUGUGCAGGAGAUUCUAUUCCAUCAGCUGGAACUGGACUUGGCUGGGCUACCAAGGCAUGCCUUUCACCCAAAUGGUCAUCAGAAAUAGAUCUUUGCGCAUAUUUGACACCUUUUGCCUCACACAUGCCAUUGACUUGGUUGUCAUCAAUUAGGGACCUCAAUGACUUGGUAUUCCCACAGCCAAUAUCCUCAGCACUGUACUGAAGCACAUUAGAACCAUUUUGAGACGUACCUUUAGCAGCUUCAUCAGCCUCUGAGAUGAUACUUGGACUCGUCUGAGAAUUCUCCAAAACGCCAACUUCUUUAUUAAGAUUCUCAGCUCCAACAUCUCUUAACUGAAUGUUUUCAGAAUUGACUUCAUCCUUCGGUAAUAAAUGAUCCAAUAAGCCCUGAUUGGAUCGCAGACUGGACCAUCUUCUGUCUAAAUUUGGUGUAAAAUCUUUUGCACUCUGUUGAAUAGAAGUAGAAACAAUGUCACCUCCGAAACAUGAUCCUCCAAGAUCUUUGCCA
rnacentral:misc_RNA from 1 species